UUGAAAAAGGCUCCGAUGACUUGUGGUUAGGGGUGAAAGGCCAAUCAAACUUCGUGAUAGCUGGUUCUCCCCGAAAUGCAUUUAGGUGCAGCGUUGCGUGGUUCUUGUUGGAGGUAGAGCACUGGAUGGUCUAGGGGGCCCACAAGCUUACCGAAAUCAACCAAACUCCGAAUGCCGGUAAGUGAGAGCGUGGCAGUGAGACUGUGGGGGCUAAGCUUCAUAGUCGAAAGGGAAACAGCCCAGAUCGCCGGUUAAGGCCCCUAAG
rnacentral:rRNA from 1 species